CGGCGCCCCCUCCUCCGUUUGCUCGGCUGCGACGUGGCAGCUGAGCGGGGGCCUCGGGGUGACGU
rnacentral:pre_miRNA from 1 species